rnacentral:sRNA from 1 species
CAUGCUCGGCCUGCUGCGGAGUGAUGUAGUGGAUGUGGGUGUCCACUCCCCCGGCGGUGAGGAUGCGGUGCUCCCCGGCAAUGACCUCGGUGCCAGGGCCGAUGACCAGCUCGGGAUCCACCCCGUCCUGCGUGUUCGGGUUACCGGCCUUGCCGAUCUUCACGAUACGGCCGUCCCGGAUGCCGACGUCGCCUUUGACCACGCCGGAAACCGCGUCGAGGACGAUGACACCGGUGAUGACGGUAUCCAGUGCCCCGGAGGCGGCGGUGGCGGUGGGGUCCUGCGCCAUGCCGUCGCGCACG